rnacentral:rRNA from 1 species
UACAGAGGGGGCAAGCGUUAUUCGGAAUUAUUGGGCGUAAAGGGCGCGUAGGCGGCUUGAUGUGUCAAAGGUGAAAUCCCUCGGCUCAACUGAGGAACUGCCUUUGAAACUGUCUGGCUUGAGGCCGGGAGAGGGUAGCGGAAUUCCCAGUGUAGCGGUGAAAUGCGUAGAUACUGGGAGGAACACCGGUGGCGAAGGCGGCUACCUGGACCGGUUCUGACGCUGAUGCGCGAAAGCGUGGGUAGCAAACAGG